rnacentral:rRNA from 1 species
UACGUAGGGGGCUAGCGUUGUCCGGAUUUAUUGGGCGUAAAGAGCGUGUAGGCGGCCAUGUAGGUCCGGUGUGAAAACUCGAGGCUUAACCUCGAGAUGUCAUCGGAAACCAUUUGGCUAGAGUCCGGAAGAGGAGAGUGGAAUUCCUGGUGUAGCGGUGAAAUGCGUAGAUAUGCGGAGGAACACCGAUGGCGAAGGCAAUCCCCUGGGCCUGCACUGACGCUCAUGCACGAAAGCGUGGGGAGCAAACAGG